rnacentral:rRNA from 1 species
UCAGUACCGUGAGGGAAAGGCGAAAAGAACCCCGGGAGGGGAGUGAAAUAGAUCCUGAAACCGUGUGCGUACAAGCAGUAGGAGCUCGCAAGAGUGACUGCGUACCUUUUGUAUAAUGGGUCAGCGACUUACUGUUCGUGGCAAGCUUAACCGUAUAGGGGAGGCGAAGGGAAACCGAGUCUGAUAAGGGCGCAUAGUCGCGGGCAGUAGACCCGAAACCGGGUGAUCUAGUCAUGGCCAGGGUGAAGGUGCCGUAACAGGUACUGGAGGCCCGAACCCACGUCUGUUGCAAAAGACGGGGAUGAGCUGUGAUUAGGAGUGAAAAGCUAAUCGAACCCGGAGAUAGCUGGUUCUCCUCGAAAGCUAUUUAGGUAGCGCCUCGGACGAAUACUACUGGGGGUAGAGCACUGUUAUGGCUAGGGGGUCAUCGCGACUUACCAAACCAUUGCAAACUCCGAAUACCAGUACGUACUAUCCGGGAGACACACGGCGGGUGCUAACGUCCGUCGUGAAAAGGGAAACAACCCAGACCCACAGCUAAGGUCCCAAAUUCACUGCUAAGUGGAAAACGAUGUGGAAAGGCAUAGACAGCCAGGAGGUUGGCUUAGAAGCAGCCACCCUUUAAAGAAAGCGUAAUAGCUCACUAGUCGAGUCGGCCUGCGCGGAAGAUGUAACGGGGCUCAAACCAUGCACCGAAGCUACGGGUAUCAUCUUCGGAUGAUGCGGUAGAGGAGCGUUCUGUAAGCCUGUGAAGGUGAGUUGAGAAGCUUGCUGGAGGUAUCAGAAGUGCGAAUGCUGACGUGAGUAACGACAAUGCGAGUGAAAAACUCGCACGCUGAAAGACCAAGGGUUCCAGUCCAACGUUAAUCGGGGCUGGGUGAGUCGACCCCUAAGGCGAGGCCGAAAGGCGUAGUCGAUGGGAAAUCGGUUAAUAUUCCGAUACUUGUUUAUGAUGCGAUGGAGGGACGGAGAAGGUUAUGCCAGCUUGGCGAUGGUUGUCCAAGUGGAAGGAUGUAGUUAGGUUUAGUAGGCAAAUCCGCUAGACUAUUAAUGAGAUCUGAUAGCAAGCUGUACUUGUACAGCGAAGUGGCAAAUACCCUGCUUCCAGGAAAAGCUUCUAAGCGAUAGUCAUAAACAAAUCGUACCCUAAACCGACACAGGUGGUCAGG